rnacentral:rRNA from 1 species
GUCUGAUGCGAAAGCCCUGGGCUCAACCCAGGAAGUGCAUYGGAAACYGUCAGACUUGAAUACGGGAGAGGGUAGUGGAAUUCCUAGUGUAGGAGUGAAAUCCGUAGAUAUUAGGAGGAACACCGGUGGCGAAGGCGGCUACCUGGACCGAUAUUGACGCUGAGACGCGAAAGCGUGGGUAGCAAACAGGAUUAGAUACCCUGGUAGUCCACGCCGUAAACGAUG